GACCCACGAUUUUUUACCCACGACCCACGCCUUUUUACCCACGACCCACGCCUUUUUACCCACGACCCACGCCUUUUUACCCACGACCCACGCCUUUUUACCCACGACCCACGCCUUUUUACCCACGACCCACGCCUUUUUACCCACGACCCACGCCUUUUUACCCACGACCCACGCCUUUUUACCCACGACCCACGACAUUCUACCCACGACAUUCUACCCACGACCCACGACCCACGACUGUUAGCUAGUCCCGGUACAUGUAAUCAGAACAUUCGUAACUCAUCUA
rnacentral:lncRNA from 1 species